rnacentral:rRNA from 1 species
GUCUACGGCCAUACUAUCCAGAACAAGCCUGACCCUGUCUGAUCUUGGAAGCUAAGCGGGGUUGAGCCUGGUUAGUAUUUGGAUGGAAGACCACCUAGGAAGACCAGGUGCUGUAGGUG